AAACUGGAGGGGGAGAGCCAGGUGAAGGCACUGGGUCCCUGAGCCCCUCAGCCCAAGCUCACCAAGGGGGCUUGUCAGCUUCCAUGUCAAUCCUCCAAAGGCUGUAGCCCCAGGCAGGCUGCUGCUGGGGUGAGGGACACUCUGUAGCAGGCCUGCCCCUUGUCUGGCUAGUUCAGCACAGAAGCCAUAAGCCUAAGGUCCUGAUCUCAGCUGGUCCAGCAUUUAUUUGGCACCAACUAGGUACCAAGCCCUGAUCUGGGACAGGGACCACAGAGAUGAGUCAGUGUAGCCCCUGCCCUGGAGGAGCUCACAGUCCAGUGGGGACACUGGUGUGGAAGAAAUGCAGCAGCUGCUCUGAUGGAAGGAAGCACGUGGGCUUGCAUGAGACUGACAGCGGCCACUCACUCCCGCUGAAGGCAGCAGGGAAGGCUUCCGGAGGAGGCGCUGCCUGGAUGGAGAGAGCAAGACUUCUCUGCAGAUGCCCAAGACCCAUCCAGAAGCCCAGAAAUGUCGGUGGUCUGGUUACUUGUAAGAAAACUGCCAGCUGUGGUCACUUCUCCUCUUCCCACUGGUACACUGACCCUCCCUACCAGCCAGCCCUGUCCCCAGGCUGGUGCAGACACACAUGCAGAAAGCAAGCUGAGUGCCUGUUCUUCCCAGCUGCUACAGGAUUAACUGGACCCCAUGGCAGCCACCAGCACCAGAGCACAACCUUAUGCAACUCACCAUGCCUUCCGGAAAGAGCCCUACA